UCCCCAGGACGAUAUUCAGGACGUUCAGGAGUCUGGAACUCUCCCUCAGUACGUAGGUUAUCCUCGGGCUUGAUCUGCUUCGGACGCUCGGCCGGUCUAUACUGAGGCUUCUCAGGCGUUUGGAAGUCUCCUUCAGGUCUGAGAUUGUCCUCGGGCUUGAUCUGCUUCGGACGCUCGGCCGGUCGGAAAGGAGAUUUCUCGGGACGCUCGAAUUCUCCUUCUGGACGAAGGUUAUCGUCAUGACGCACAGGCUUCGGACGCUCUCCAGGACGAUAUUCAGGACGUUCCGGAGUCUGGAACUCUCCCUCAGUACGUAGGUUAUCCUCGGGUCUGAUCUGCUUCGGACGCUCGGCCGGUCUAUACUGAGGCUUCUCAGGCUUUUGGAAGUCUCCUUCAGGUCUGAGAUUGUCCUCGGGCUUGAUCUGCUUCGGGCGCUCGGCCGGUCGGAAAGGAGAUUUCUCGGGACGCUCGAAGUCUCCUUCUGGGCGAAGGUUAUCAUCGGGACGAAUAGGUCUUGGUCGCUCACCAGAAAUGUAUACCGUUUUCUCAGUGCGUUCAAAGUUGCCUUCCAUGUAAAGAUUAUCUUCAUGGCGAACGAUUUG